rnacentral:rRNA from 1 species
GACGUAGGAGGCGAGCGUUAUCCGGAUUUACUGGGUGUAAAGCGCGUGCAGGCGGUUGGCUAAGUUGGGUGUGAAAGCUCCUGGCUCAACUGGGAGAGGUCGCUCAAGACUGGCCGACUGGAGAGCAGUAGAGGAAGGUGGAAUUCCAGGUGUAGUGGUGAAAUGCGUAGAUAUCUGGAGGAACACCAGUGGCGAAAGCGGCCUUCUGGACUGCAUCUGACGCUCAGACGCGAAAGCUAGGGGAGCAAACGGG